CCUACGGGAGACUGCAGUGAGGAAUAUUGGUCAAUGGACGAGAGUCUGAACCAGCCAAGUAGCGUGAAGGAUGACUGCCCUAUGGGUUGUAAACUUCUUUUAUAUGGGAAUAAAAUGUUCCACGUGUGGGAUUUUGUAUGUACCCUAUGAAUAAGGAUCGGCUAACUCCGUGCCAGCAGCCGCGGUAAUACGGAGGAUCCGAGCGUUAUCCGGAUUUAUUGGGUUUAAAGGGAGCGUAGGUGGAUUGUUAAGUCAGUUGUGAAAGUUUGCGGCUCAACCGUAAAAUUGCAGUUGAAACUGGCAGUCUUGAGUACAGGAGAGGUUGGCGGAAUUCGUGGUGUAGCGGUGAAAUGCUUAGAUAUCACGAAGAACUCCGAUUGCGAAGGCAGUUCACUGGACUGCAACUGACACUGAGGCUCGAAAGUGUGGGUAUCAAACAGGAUUAGAUACCCCUGUAGUC
rnacentral:rRNA from 1 species